AACGAACGCUGGCGGCAUGCCUAACACAUGCAAGUCGAACGAGACCUUCGGGUCUAGUGGCGCACGGGUGCGUAACGCGUGGGAACCUGCCCUUAGGUACGGAAUACCUCCCCGAAAGGGGUGCUAAUACCGGAUCAUGUCUUCGGCCCAAAGAUUUAUCGCCUUUGGAUGGGCCCGCGUUGGAUUAGCUAGUUGGGAGGGUAAAAGCCUACCAGGGCGACGAUCCGUAGCUGGUCUGAGAGGAUGCUCAGCGACACUUGGACUGAGACACGGCCCAGACUCCUACGCGAUGGAGCAGAGGCUAAUAUUGGACAACGGGCGGAAGCCUGAUCCAGCAAGGCCGGGAAAGUGAUGAUGGCCGUAGGGAUGUAAAGCUCUUUUACCCGGGAUGAUAAUGACGGUACCGGGAGAAUAAGCCCCGGCUAACUCCGUG
rnacentral:rRNA from 1 species